GCUGGCGGCAUUCCUAACACAUGCAAGUCGAACGAAGGCUUCGGCCUUAGUGGCGCACGGGUGCGUAACGCGUGGGAAUCUGCCCUCUGGUACGGAAUAACUCAGGGAAACUUGAGCUAAUACCGUAUAAUGACUUCGGUCCAAAGAUUUAUCGCCUGAGGAUGAGCCCGCGUCGGAUUAGCUAGUUGGUGAGGUAAAGGCUCACCAAGGCGACGAUCCGUAGCUGGUCUGAGAGGAUGAUCAGCCACACUGGGACUGAGACACGGCCCAGACUCCUACGGGAGGCAGCAGUGGGGAAUAUUGGACAAUGGGCGCAAGCCUGAUCCAGCAAUGCCGCGUGAGUGAUGAAGGCCUUAGGGUUGUAAAGCUCUUUUACCCGGGAUGAUAAUGACAGUACCGGGAGAAUAAGCCCCGGCUAACUCCGUGCCAGCAGCCGCGGUAAUACGGAGGGGGCUAGCGUUGUUCGGAAUUACUGGGCGUAAAGCGCACGU
rnacentral:rRNA from 1 species